AGUGAACGCUGGCGGCAGGCCUAACACAUGCAAGUCGAGCGGCAGCGCGUCCGACCACCCUCGGGUGGUCGGAUGGCGGCGAGCGGCGGACGGGUGAGGAAUGCAUCGGAAUCUGCCUCGUUGUGGGGGAUAACGUAGGGAAACUUACGCUAAUACCGCAUACGACCUACGGGUGAAAGUGGGGGACCUUCGGGCCUCACGCGAUGAGAUGAGCCGAUGCCGGAUUAGCUAGUUGGCGGGGUAAAGGCCCACCAAGGCGACGAUCCGUAGCUGGUCUGAGAGGAUGAUCAGCCACACUGGAACUGAGACACGAUCCAGACUCCUACGGGAGGCAGCAGUGGGGAAUAUUGGACAAUGGGGGCAACCCUGAUCCAGCCAUGCCGCGUGUGUGAAGAAGGCC
rnacentral:rRNA from 1 species